rnacentral:rRNA from 1 species
UACAGAGGUCUCAAGCGUUGUUCGGAUUCAUUGGGCGUAAAGGGUGCGUAGGCGGCGCGGUAAGUCGGGUGUGAAAUCUCGGAGCUUAACUCCGAAACUGCAUUCGAUACUGCCGUGCUUGAGGACUGGAGGAGGAGACUGGAAUUUACGGUGUAGCGGUGAAAUGCGUAGAUAUCGUAAGGAAGACCAGUGGCGAAGGCGGGUCUCUGGACAGUUCCUGACACUGAGGCACGAAGGCCAGGGGAGCAAACGGG